rnacentral:rRNA from 1 species
AACGAACGCUGGCGGCAUGCCUAACACAUGCCAGUCGAACGAGACCUUCGGGUCUAGUGGCGCACGGGUGCGUAACGCGUGGGAAUCUGCCCUUGGGUUCGGAAUAACAGUGAGAAAUUACUGCUAAUACCGGAUGAUGUCUUCGGACCAAAGAUUUAUCGCCCAGGGAUGAGCCCGCGUAGGAUUAGCUAGUUGGUGGGGUAAUGGCCUACCAAGGCGACGAUCCUUAGCUGGUCUGAGAGGAUGAUCAGCCACACUGGGACUGAGACACGGCCCAGACUCCUACGGGAGGCAGCAGUGGGGAAUAUUGGACAAUGGGCGCAAGCCUGAUCCAGCAAUGCCGCGUGAGUGAUGAAGGCCUUAGGGUUGUAAAGCUCUUUUACCCGGGAUGAUAAUGACAGUACCGGGAGAAUAAGCUCCGGCUAACUCCGU